AGAGUUUGAUCAUGGCUCAGGACGAACGCUGGCGGCGUGCUUAACACAUGCAAGUCGAACGGAAAGCGCUCUUCGGAGUGACUCGAGUGGCGAACGGGUGAGUAACACGUGGGUGAUCUGCCCUGCACUUUGGGAUAAGCCUGGGAAACUGGGUCUAAUACCGAAUACACCCUGCUGGCUGCAUGGCCUGGUGGGGGAAAGCUUUUGCGGUGUGGGAUGGGCCCGCGGCCUAUCAGCUUGUUGGUGGGGUGAUGGCCUACCAAGGCGACGACGGGUAGCCGGCCUGAGAGGGUGUCCGGCCACACUGGGACUGAGAUACGGCCCAGACUCCUACGGGAGGCAGCAGUGGGGAAUAUUGCACAAUGGGCGCAAGCCUGAUGCAGCGACGCCGCGUGAGGGAUGACGGCCUUCGGGUUGUAAACCUCUUUCAGUAGGGACGAAGCGCAAGUGACGGUACCUAUAGAAGAAGCACCGGCCAACUACGUGCCAGCAGCCGCGGUAAUACGUAGGGUGCGAGCGUUGUCCGGAAUUACUGGGCGUAAAGAGCUCGUAGGUGGUUUGUCGCGUUGUUCGUGAAAACUCACAGCUCAACUGUGGGCGUGCGGGCGAUACGGGCAGACUGGAGUACUGCAGGGGAGACUGGAAUUCCUGGUGUAGCGGUGGAAUGCGCGAUAUCAGGAGGAACACCGGUGGCGAAGGCGGGUCUCUGGGCAGUAACUGACGCUGAGGAGCGAAAGCGUGGGGAGCGAACAGGAUUAGAUACCCUAGUAGUCC
rnacentral:rRNA from 1 species